rnacentral:lncRNA from 1 species
AUGCUUGUUUCCUUCCUUACUUCCAUGGUCAUUAAAGAGUACAAGAAGUUGGAACUUGUCCUUGAAGGGAGUUCCAGGAGAGAAGGUAGCCUGGACAGUGAUACAACCUCAGAAGGCAACAUGGUACACAAGCCUAUUUGUGAAAGUACUGUGAAACAUGACCCUAUCAGAGAUGAUGGUGAUGUGUAUGACUCUGUCUGUGAUGAGGAAGAAAUAUAUGACCCUGUCACUCCAGAAGAAAUAUUCUGUGUCCAAAUCAACCAGGGAGAGAUCCCAAAUCCUCAGAAGUGCAAGAGUCCAGAUACAAUUUACUGCAUCAUGAAGAAACCCCAAAAGGUGAGAAAUUUUAUAUCUUCAGGUCUUACUAACUGGAGAUUUCAGACUUUUUAUUUAUUUUUAUUUUUAGGCAGUUGGGGUUAAGUGACUUGCCCAGGGUCACACAGCUAGUAAGUGUCAAGUGAUUGGUCUGAGGCCAAAUUUGAACUCAGGUCCUCCUGACUCCAGGGCUGAUUCUCUUCACUGCCCCACCUAGCUGCCCCUGAUUUCAGACUUUUCAAGGCUUCCCUACAGUGACCAAUGUACCCUAGAAGGACAGUCCUACUUGAUAUCUGGUAUUGCUAAAGAUAAAAAUUGACAGAAUUAUCUGUUAUUCUCACAAAAUUUAGGAAAGGAGGCCAAAGACCAGGGUGUACUGGUAAAUGUUUGACAGCAAGGCAGAAAAAACAUAAAUUUAAUCUACAUUAUUAACACCAUCUUGAGUCUAGACAAUCAGCAAAACAAUAAAUCAAGCCCUUAUUUGUAGUGAUUGAUGAUU